GUCUUUGCACCUGAGAAGAUAAAAGGACCAGCCAUUGGACUUCCAGGGGAGGGGUCAUGACCUGAGAGUUUGAUCAGUAAUCUGCUGGAGCAUGUGGUGCAAACAAUAGCUAAUCAAUCAUCACAACAGGUAUGCUGACCUUCUACCAUCUGUGACUGCUUAAUGACAUUGACUGAAGGUUUCUAUUAAAACAGGCAGAAGAGGAUGAAGAUGGAAAAGGAAAAAGAGGAAAUGGCAACUCAGGUCUGGUGUGGAGCUAGUCUUCUCCUUCUUCCCUUCUGUGGGCUGGUAACUGUUUCCUUGCCUAAAUGGCUGUGUGGUGUAUGUGCCCCAUUGCAUCUUACAAUAAAU